GAAGAGACCUAUUAGGGGAGGUCUGCACACCGUGGGUUACAGAAGGUAGGAACAGUGAUGACUUCCACCAUGGCCUGGACCCCUCUUCUCCUCACCCUACUUGCUCACUGUACAGGGUCCUGGGCCCAGUCUGUGCUGACUCAGCCACCAUCAGUGUCUGGGACCCUAGGCCAGAGGAUCACCAUCUCCUGCACCGGAAGCAGCUCCAACAUCGGGGGUCGUAAUGCUGUGAGCUGGUACCAACAAGUCCCAGGAAUGGGCCCCAAAACCGUCAUCUGUUGGGAUAACAGCAAACCCUCGGGGGUCCCAGAUAGAUUCUCCGGCUCAAAGUCUGGCAGUUCAGGCACCCUGACCAUCACUGGGCUGCAGGCUGAGGACGAGGCUGAUUAUUACUGCUCAGCAUGGGAUGAUAGUCUCAGUGCUCACACAGUGCUCCAGUCCUGUGGGGAACUUAAGGACGAGGCUGACUAUUACUGCUCAGUGUGGGAUGAAAGCAUCAAUGCUGACACAGUGCUACAGGCCCAUGGGGACCUAAGACAAAAACCUGCCCCUGCCCCUCGUGGUCACCCCCAUUAUUGCCUGUGA